rnacentral:rRNA from 1 species
CCUACGGGAGGCAGCAGUGAGGAAUAUUGGUCAAUGGACGAGAGUCUGAACCAGCCAAGUAGCGUGAAGGAUGACUGCCCUAUGGGUUGUAAACUUCUUUUAUAUGGGAAUAAAACGUUCCACGUGUGGGAUUUUGUAUGUACCAUAUGAAUAAGGAUCGGCUAACUCCGUGCCAGCAGCCGCGGUAAUACGGAGGAUCCGAGCGUUAUCCGGAUUUAUUGGGUUUAAAGGGAGCGUAGGUGGAUUGUUAAGUCAGUUGUGAAAGUUUGCGGCUCAACCGUAAAAUUGCAGUUGAAACUGGCAGUCUUGAGUACAGUAGAGGUGGGCGGAAUUCGUGGUGUAGCGGUGAAAUGCUUAGAUAUCACGAAGAACUCCGAUUGCGAAGGCAGUUCACUGAACUGCAACUGACACUGAGGCUCGAAAGUGUGGGUAUCAAACAGGAUUAGAUACCCGUGUAGUC